rnacentral:rRNA from 1 species
CAGAAUCCGGUUGAUCCUGCCGGACCUGACUGCUAUCGGAUUGAUACUAAGCCAUGCGAGUCAUUGUAGCAAUACAAGGCAGACGGCUCAGUAACGCGUAGUCAACCUAACCUAUGGACGGGAAUAACCUCGGGAAACUGAGAAUAAUGCCCGAUAGAACACUAUACCUGGAAUGGUUUGUGUUCCAAAUGAUUUAUCGCCGUAGGAUGGGACUGCGGCCUAUCAGUUUGUUGGUGAGGUAAUGGCCCACCAAGACUAUUACAGGUACGGGCUCUGAGAGGAGUAGCCCGGAGAUGGGUACUGAGACACGGACCCAGGCCCUAUGGGGCGCAGCAGGCGAGAAAACUUUGCAAUGUGCGAAAGCACGACAAGGUUAAUCCGAGUGGUUUCUGCUAAAGGAACCUUUUGUCGGUCCUAGAAACACCGAUGAAUAAGGGGUGGGCAAGUUCUGGUGUCAGCCGCCGCGGUAAAACCAGCACCUCAAGUGGUCAGGAUGAUUAUUGGGCCUAAAGCAUCCGUAGCCGGCUCUAUAAGUUUUCGGUUAAAUCUGUACGCUCAACGUACAGGCUGCCGGGAAUACUGCAGAGCUAGGGAGUGGGAGAGGUAGACGGUACUCGGUAGGAAGGGGUAAAAUCCUUUGAUCUAUUGAUGACCACCUGUGGCGAAGGCGGUCUACCAGAACACGUCCGACGGUGAGGGAUGAAAGCUGGGGGAGCAAACCGGAUUAGAUACCCGGGUAGUCCCAGCUGUAAACGAUGCAGACUCGGUGAUGCCCUGGCUUGUGGCCAGUGCAGUGCCGCAGGGAAGCCGUUAAGUUUGCCGCCUGGGAAGUACGUACGCAAGUAUGAAACUUAAAGGAAUUGGCGGGGGAGCACCACAAGGGGUGAAGCCUGCGGUUCAAUUGGAGUCAACGCCAGAAAUCUUACCCG